rnacentral:rRNA from 1 species
AAUAUUUGACAAGGGGGGCAACCCUGCUCCAGCCAUGCCGCGAGUGUGAAGAUUGUCUUCGGAUUGUAAAGCACGUUAAGUUGGGAGGAAGGGCUUUAGGUUAAUACCCUGAAAUUUUGACGUUACCAACAGAAUAAGCACCGGCUAACUCUGUGCCAGCAGCCGCGGUAAUACAGAGGGUGCAAGCGUUAACCGGAAUUACUGGGCGUAAAGCGCGCGUAGGUGGUUCAGUAAGAUGGGUGUGAAAUCCCCGGGCUUAACCUGGGAACUGAUUUCAUAACUGCUGAGCUAGAGUACGGUAGAGGGUAGUGGAAUUUCCUGUGUAGCGGUGAAAUGCGUAGAUAUAGGAAGGAACACCAGUGGCGAGGCGACUACCUGGACUGAUACUGACACUGAGGUGCGAAAGCGUGGGGAGCAAA